rnacentral:rRNA from 1 species
AUUGAACGCUGGCGGCAGGCCUAACACAUGCAAGUCGAGCGGAGCGGCGGGCGGGUAAGUAAUGCCUAGGUAUCAGCCUCGUAGUGGUGGAGAACGUCCUGGAACGGGCGCUAAUACCGCUUGCUAUCAGAAGAGCAUCGGUCGGAUUUGCUAGUUGGUGGGGUAAAGGCCUACCAAGGCGACGAUCCUUAACUGUUCUGAGAGGAUGAUCAGUCACACUGGAACUGAGACACGGUCCAGACCCCGACGGGAGGCAGCAGUGGGGAAGAUUGUACAAUGGGCGAAAGCCUGAUCCAGCCAUGCCGCGUGUGUGAAGAAGGGCUUCGGAUUGUAAAGCACUUUAAGUUGGGAGGCGUUACCAACAGAAUAAGCACCGGCUAACUCCGUGCCAGCAGCCGCGGUAAUUC